CCAGUGUCUUCAUAACGUGUGACUGGUGCAGCUGUUGUUCUGUGGCAGAAAGCAGAAGAUGAGUUCGGGAAGGUGGACGCCAUCGUGGUUUCUGUCGGAGUCGACGAGGAGAUCGUCUACGCCAAGUCUACAGCCCUUCAGACGUGGCUGUUCGGGUACGAGCUCACCGACACCAUCAUGCUGUUCUGCGAGACCAGGAUCAUCUUUCUGGCCAGUAAGAAGAAGGUGGAGUUCCUGAAGCAGGUCGCCGUCACGAAAGGCAACGAGAACGCAAACGGGAUUCCUGCGAUCACGCUGCUCGUCC